AGUAAUGUCUGGGAGACUGCCUGAUGGAGGGGGAUAACUACUGGAAACGGUAGCUAAUACCGCAUAACGUCGCAAGACCAAAGAGGGGGACCUUCGGGCCUCUUGCCAUCGGAUGUGCCCAGAUGGGAUUAGCUAGUAGGUGGGGUAACGGCUCACCUAGGCGACGAUCCCUAGCUGGUCUGAGAGGAUGAUCAGCCACACUGGAACUGAGACACGGUCCAG
rnacentral:rRNA from 1 species